AAAUUGAAGAGUUUGAUCAUGGCUCAGAUUGAACGCUGGCGGCAGGCCUAACACAUGCAAGUCGAACGGUAACAGGAAGCAGCUUGCUGCUUUGCUGACGAGUGGCGGACGGGUGAGUAAUGUCUGGGAAACUGCCUGAUGGAGGGGGGUAACUACUGGAAACGGUGGCUAAUACCGCAUAACGUCGCAAGACCAAAGAGGGGGACCUUCGGGCCUCUUGCCAUCAGAUGUGCCCAGAUGGGAUUAGCUUGUUGGUGAGGUAACGGCUCACCAAGGCGACGAUCCCUAGCUGGUCUGAGAGGAUGACCAGCCACACUGGAACUGAGACACGGUCCAGACUCCUACGGGAGGCAGCAGUGGGGAAUAUUGCACAAUGGGCGCAAGCCUGAUGCAGCCAUGCCGCGUGUAUGAAGAAGGCCUUCGGGUUGUAAAGUACUUUCAGCGGGGAGGAAGGUGUUGUGGUUAAUAACC
rnacentral:rRNA from 1 species